UUUAUUAAUUAAGUUUCUAAAAAAGUAGUAAUCACCACUCAAAUAAAAUUUUGAAGUACAAGCAAUAAUCAAAGCAUUGUGUGAAGCAACUGUAUAUUUGGCAUUUUGGUGCACCUAUUAGACUAUAGAAUCGGAAUGUAAUUCAUUGAUUUCGAUAGUUGCCAUUUGUUUUAUAGGAAUCGGAUUCCGAUUCACAUUUCACUCCGGAAUGGGAAUGGCCAAAUCCAUUUACGAUCCAAUCCGGUUUUGAAUUUCAGAUUGGCUCAUUCCAAAGUAAAUUAUUCAAAAUCCUCUUUCAUCAACACCUACCUCCUCUCCCUUCAUCACUUUCCUCUCUCUUAAUCAAAACCCUCUCUCAAAAAUUUUAAAUUUUUAUUUCGACUUCCAUUCCAACAAUGAACCAAACAUUUUGGAUGAUUCAUCAUUCUAUUUUCCAUUCCAAAGCAAUCCAAUUUCAUUUUCUAUUCAUAUUCCAAUCAUAAACCAAACAGGUCCAUUAUUUAGUCGUGUUAUGAUAUUGUAUGAAAUAAUCAUAUGUAAUUCUUUAAAACUUAAGCUGCUGAAGUCGAAGAUGUUCAUUUAUUUACAUUUUUUUUUUUUUUUUUUUACAUGCAACAUAUUGCAUAUAUAUAUAAAAAUGUAAAUUUCUUUUGCAAUUUUUCUUAAGAAUCUUAUAUUUAUGGAAAAAUGAUUGAGAUGGAGAGAGUAUGGAUGUCAAUGGUUGGUUUCAGAGUGGAUUUUGCAAACUAAAAGUGGAGGGGGGCCCACCAUGGAUGUAAGGUGGGCCCUCUUAUUGUUCGNGCAACAUAUUGCAUAUAUAUAUAUAUAAAUGUAAAUUUCUUUUGCAAUUUUUCUUAAGAAUCUUAUAUUUAUGGAAAAAUGAUUGAGAUGGAGAGAGUAUGGAUGUCAAUGGUUGGUUUCAGAGUGGAUUUUGCAAAAUAAAAGUGGAGGGGGGCCCCCAAUGGAUGUAAGGUGGGGCCCUCUUAUUGUUGGAUCUACGUUAUUUUAACGAGCCAAUUCGGCGUGCCUAUUCUAUAAGGCUAGCAUUACUCUUUUAGAAAAUACGAAACCAAAUCCAAAUAAAAAACCAAAACCCUAAAUCGAACUCGACUAUUUAAAAUUAUAAAAAAUUAUAUUAAAUCACUAAUAUAUGUAAAUUAUUAAAUAAAUAUCUAAAGUAACAUCGUUUGUAUGUAUAAAAUAAGUUUUAUAUGGUUGCCGUUUUUUGUUUGGGUUCGGAUACGAGUUCGGAGAAAAUCAUAACUAAAGCUGAAUCUGUCGAAUUUUUAUUUUUUUAUAUCCAUAAUCAAAGUCAUACUUAUUUAAUAUCAGUUAAACCUGCUUUAUUCAGGCUCGAAUACUGGUAAAAUUUCGAAUGUCCAUACCCAUUGACAUCCGAGAGAGAGAGAGUAAAAAUAAAAGUAUAAAAGAGUGGAGAAAAAGGGGAUUUCUUAGAUGGUAACAUAGGAACAAAGAACAUAAAACACCCACCAUUAAAUUAAACCAAUUUGCAACAUUUUUUUACAAUAAAUUUUAGGAUCCCCUUGGUCUCCAUAUGGCUCAACAAACUUGGAACUGUUAUGCUCUUGUGGGCCAUAUUUUUUUGAUUUAGUCUAUAACAUUAACAUUAAUGUGUCCACUUAUGCUCCAAUUCGUCUUUUGUUUUGGCCCAACCACCAUUGAAAAGGAAAAAGAAUUAAUAAAAAAAAGGGGGGCAAGUGCACCAAAUUAUUACAACAUUAAAGUUUUCAAAAAAUCACUUGUAAGUUAUGCCCUAACUUUUGGAAAAAGAAAUUAUAUGUUGAGCCCCACUUGUAGUAUAUAUAAUCAUUUUUUGCUUUGACAAUUUGAAUUAAGAUGUAACUCUUUCCCACUCAUUUCAUGGUUUUUUAUGUUAAGUGAAUUGGACUAAUAUUAUACUGUGACUUUUUUUUUUUUUUGGAGCAAUUGGAUUAUUUUUAUCUACCAUUUAUAUUUCUUCCUGAUUGGAGUGUUGCAUGUGAUGGCUUAUUAGGGAUCGUUUGAUUGGAUAUAAUCAGAAAUACGAUGUACUUGGAGAUGUAUGCAGUUGAAAAAUACAGUAGUUGUAAUUAUAAUUUAUUGCAUGUAGUUGAAAAGUGCAUUUUAAAAAUUUUAUCACUAUAUAUUUGCGGUGUGAAGAUUACUUUCAAUAUAGGGGAAAAAAUUAUAUUUAAAAGUGAUUAAGGAGUUAAGCUUAUCUUUUCUGUAAAGUUACUCUCUCAAACUGCUGUAGUUGGACUUUCUCAUACAAUUUCAAUCAUAACUUGUUGGAUUCAAAUACAUCAAAACGAACACCUAAUUUGAAUUUGCAUAUAAUUACAACUGCAAAUCGUCUUACCGAGGAAAAGAUUUUCAUAUAAUUCUUUUCAUGUUCUCUAAAAAUAUAUAUUUUAUGCGCGAAUAAGCUUUAAUUAGUUUCUCUCUAUGGUUUUACCACAUUUUUUACUUUGUAAUCCUGUGGUUUUACAUUGCUAUUCUAUAACUUAUCCUUGUUUUAUAGUAGGUAUCUGCUAUUAAUUAAAUAUAGCAAAAUGGUACAAACUAUAAACUAAAAAAUGGUAAGCUAAGAGCAUUCAAACAAAAUGGCAUGUCAAAAAAGAUUCUUAACCCUAGAUCCUUUACAACAACAAUCCCCAAAAAGAGAUUUUCAAAUUCAUGCAAAUUUUCAUGCCCUUACAAUUCCUAUGAACAAGAUAAUUAAAACUAUCAUCACAAUCACAAAUGCACAAUACAAACAACGCUUGUAACCACAACUAUAAUUUAUUAUUACAAAGCACAAUUCAUACUUGAUUUAUAGUUAUCAUCAUUAUUUACAUCUGCGCUAAACUCUAAGUAGAUAUAUACUGAGCUCGGGCCCACCACCCGUCCCGUCAGGGCUCAUCAUGUAGAACGCCUCCGAGUCUCUAGACCCUACUACUCUCUCAAAUUUUGCCCUCAUGUACAUCACGUCCCCUCUCUCCCCCUCCCCCUCCGCUCCUCCGGCGCACCUCCUCAGCUCCUCCCCCUCCAGCAGGCCCUCGCCGUUGAUCUCCCCCCUCACCCCCGGCCCCCACUGACACCGCCUCGACGGCCCUCAAAACGUCCUGGUCGGCGUCGCCGCACUCCCGCUGGACGGCCCUGCCACACUUUCUACCGUUGCAGUACGCCCGCCACACCGGCUCCUCUAGGAGCGGCGGCAACGGCGCCGUCGACGACGCGCGAUCACACUCAAGGGCGAUGCGCACGAGGCCUGAGGCCAUCUCGCGGACGAGGGCGGCGGUGGGGGCAGCGAGCUCGAGGAGGAGGGCCGGCGGGGUGCGGGGGUCCGCCUGGAAGGCCAAGCGGACGCGGCCCCGCCGCUGGCCGAAGAGCGUGCCGGCCACCAUCCGGGGGAGGCCGCCGAUAGGGCCACGGCUGCUCCGUCGACUCCCAGCGGCAAUUGCCGCCGCAAGAGCCGACCGGAGCCUGAGCAUCCAAGCUCCGGACGCUAAAGGCGGAAAAGAAGUGCUUCUCUUGUUUGCAGCGGUGAUGGCUAUUGCAGACUUAUGAAAGUGGUAGUAGGACGAAGAAGGGAUGGCGGUUUUAGCGGCGGCAGCUGCGGCGAAAGAAAGAGCCUCUUCCUCCCGCAAUUUCUCUUCCUUGUCUCUCUUCACUCUCUCUCCUCCUCGUCCUCCUCUCUCUUCUUCCUUGGGCAUCUUCUCGAAGUUUCUCUUGGAGGAGGGGAAUGAGGAAGGGUUGAAGCUUCUUCCCAUUAUGCUUCUCAUUAAAUUUGGAAGAGAGAGAGAGAUAGAUUGAGAGAGAGAGUUUUGGGGGGGUGGGGAUUGGUUUUAUUUGUUGUGAAUGAUGAUGAGGGGGUUUAUGUUUUUGUUUUUUUGGGGUGGUGGGGAGUGGGGGAUGAUCACAUUCCUACAUGCUUAGAAGGGCUUUUAUGAUCACCCACUGUAGCACUAGAGAGAGUGCUUUUGGAGUAAGCUGAAGCUUUAUUUUGGUGGAGCCCCACCACAAAACAAGCAUAGCAGUAAGGGGGGUGGUGACCAUACACCACCAAACUAUGAAAUGCUGGGAAAAAUGGUAAAAACACAAUGACAAGGUGGGGACAGCCCCUGAUAACUCUCUGCACGAAUCUCAAAGCCGACCAUGUUAUCCAGGACAUUAUACUGUAGUUCCAUAUACAGUUCAUUAUUCCGCAUACUCUUAUCUUAUGAUUUCAUUUUUCUCUCUCCGCAAGAUUCUAUCUGCUGCUAAAAAAUAGUGCGACAAAUACUACAAAUUUAGAACUCUACGAAAUGAAAACAAAACCACCAAACGAACAGCGAAGUGAAACAGUUUAAAACACGAGGUGACAAAGCGAAAAAUACGCUAAUAAAUCGCAGGAUUUUAUAUGCUCUGAUGGAAUGAGGGUGGGCCACAAACUGUUGAGACUGUGACUCAGUGCAGGACCAGUUAAUUAAUUGUACAGGACUGGAAAACACCUGACCCACAUCCAGAGGUCCAACACAAACUGACAUGCUCAUGUGCAUAGCCCCUUUGUGUUUAUGUUUAUGUUUAGGGUACCUCUUGAUGUUAAUGGGGGGGGAAUUAAAGAUGUUUCUGGUGGAAUCUUCUGCAAAAACUCAGAUCCCUUCUACAGUAGUUGCUUGUAACUGAAGAUCACAGAGUCAUAUGAAAUACAAGAUGCCAGUUAAUGAGAUUGAGCUUCAGUUCAUACCUCUUACCCGGCUACAGCUUCGACCGAAAGUGCUUUGGAAGUAGAGCUGUUUGAAGAAGAUUUACGAACUUUUCAUCGCCUUGUAACAGAAGCGAAAGACACGAAAAAGUUCUAGACUUUCUAUUUGCUAAACACCUAUAGGACUAUCUCGAAGAUUGCUCUUCAAAUCUAAAGAGCAAAAACUAAAUCUACGCUGCCGACUUACUCUAACAAAUUCUCCGACAUAUUCCUCUACUGUUUAGUUCUGCCUAGUAUUGCCGUACCCGCAACAUUCUAUGUGUUGCACGCCACCGUUUUCACCGGUUACGGUCUCAGCAUGCUUUACAUGCAUGUAAAAUAUAGUAGACGCGUCAUUUCCCAAUUCCGCGGCAAUCAAGACACUUCUAAGUGUGGCAUGAUAAUGUUCUAAGAAGAACCUUCUCAUCUUCAAAUUGUGCAGCAUACGAAAAUAUAACUACUGUGUGUUCUAAGUACAGAUACUGAGGUUGUGUUGGUUUCUCUAACACCGAAGAAUAAAUUUGAUUGUUAUCACCAAAAAGUCAAAAACAUCCCUAAUAUAAGAAGGAUUUUAUGUAACAAAAUUACUACGAGUUCACCAUCUCAAGCAAUGAAUUCUACAGUGACAUAAUUAACGAAAUAUGCAGCAUGUUUACAGCAGUAAACUCAGUGUCUUUCAAUUCAUCGGCAAUAAAUGAGGUUUUCCAGUAUACAGAGGAAAUGACUUCAUAGAUACGGAAAUAAUUAGAUAAAAGGUUAUAUCAGGCGGUGAAUUUUAUAGAAAAAAGCCGUAUAUUUGGUAGCAGAAGCACUUCACCUUCUACGAUUCCGACGUUGAUCUUGCCGGUCCCUUGGUUGGUGCGAGGACCCGUCCCUGCUCGUGCUGUACGAACUCUCAUGCUUCCAAUCAUCAAGGAUCAAACUAUUGUGUUGUGGUGACUGCCUAGCCGACGGGUGUGGGUAGGGGCUGCGAGGACUCUGGACCGGAGGAGAAAUAUUAUCACAAGCCCCCGGGCUUCUCCACCCUUUCUCGGAAAGUGACCUCCCAAGGCUCGAGGUCCUAGAGCUAGGGUUUUGCUCAUAAGGACUAUACCGAGGAGAGUAGGCUGAGCUACUGUGCCCUAUCUCUGCACCCGGUAGGCCCUCUUCGCGGUGAUGCUCCCCAGGGCGCCACCUGUCCCAACUAGAUAAAGAUAAACAGCUAAAUUUGUAAUGGUAUAAGGCUGCUGAAGGGUGGAAGGGCAUAAUUGUAAUUUUAUAUAAUUUUAGACUUCCUUGAUAGGGUGCUGCUCAUAAGGUAUAUACCUCGAAGAGUAGGAUGGCAAUGAGGGUGCGUUUCUGCGCCCUGGCUCUGCACCAAGUAGGCCCUCAUCGUGCUGGUUGCCGGACCGCCGUCUAUGCGAUUCUGAUAUGCGGUGGUGGGAUUGCGAUCGGGCCGCCCAGAGCCACUGAUCAGCAUUCUCUGGUAUCGGGGCGUUGAUUCCAGGGAACUCAACCGUCAUUAUGGUCUCGGGGGAUAUGGGCUCGCCUUUCUCAGGGAGCUCCCCCUCUUCAUAUUCUUCCUUCUCUUCCUCGCCGUCAGCAUAUAUCUUGAUCCCGGAAGGCUGGUCUUCGUUCUCAACAACAGCUGGAGAAAAGGAAUAAGUUGAUGAAGUCCAGAAUCAGAAUAUUUUAGCAGUUGAAUUGGACAUAAAAAGCUAAUGGAGGAAUAGGCGUGCAGAAACCAAGAAAACUACCAUGAGAUUGGAAAUGGCUAUUGCUUUGUUCUCUUGAGCUUUAAAAACCAAUUUUGUAACAACCUUGAUUUGUUAAGCCAAUAUCACUUUGCGCACUACUUAGUAAGUUAGAAAUAUGAUAAAUAAUUUAGAACAAAUAUGAAAUUCUGAAAACUUCCAUUCUUCUUUCCUAAUCCCUUUCAUUCCUAAGAAGGGUGUUUUGAUAAUUCACAUUUUAUCAAACAUUUUCUUAUCUUUUAAAGAGGACUGACAGAGGGUUGACGGAGAAUUGAAGUGAUGACAGCUUUUAAAAUAAAGGGGGUAAUAUAUAGGUUGUAAAAAUUCACGCGGUCCCGUACAACAUCCCAACUAACUUUUACUAACUUUUAACAAAUUUUAUAAUUAUGAAUAUUUUAAGAAAAAAAUUAUCAAACAGAUAAUAAUUUUAGCACUAAAUUAAAUUUAUUGAAAUACAACAUGUUUAGUAAAAUAUUGGUAGAUAAUGAAUUGGUAUAGUUUUUUCACAGUACGAUGCGUACUCAUGUGAGAGUAUGAUUAAUGAUGAUUAGCCUUUCACUAGAUCCACCUAUUCAGAUGUAUACUAAAAAUAGCAGAAAACCAGUCUGACGUUGAAUUUGUUGAUAAGCAUAGAAAGCACAAUGGUAUAUCAAAUUUUCUGAGUAGGCAUAACAACAUUAAAUUUGGGUAACAAAUGAAUCUAGGAAGAAAUACAUAGACCAAGUUUAACAUACCUAAAUAUCCAGGAGGGUACCCUAGCUCACGCAUUCGGCUCAACCAAGGGGGUGGAUCAUUUUCCUGCAUGACAUGGUAAAUAAGUUGCAGCUAAAAAAUAUAUAUAUAUAUAUAUACUGUGAUUUGAACUAUACUCAUCUUACAGAUUCAAUAGCCUCAAAUAAAUGGCAUUUUGUUCACGGAUUGGUUUGUUUACAAAAACAUGAUUUAAAGAGCAAAAAAUUGCCAUUCGGUCAUGUGCUACAAGCAAGCUAGCAUCUUUUACAUCACACUCUUUUUACAACAAUUAACUGUGUAGCAGGCAAUUCCAAGCAGCCAAUUGCAGGCAUUGCAAAUGGAGGACAAAAUAUAAUAGAAAAGUAAGAUGUCGAUUACCCUGAUCCCCAAGCAUUCUCUGGUCUCAGGGCCAAGAACUCCUGCUUUCAAAUCAUCAAACUUCCCGGUUGUUUUCUGAUAAUACCGGGUUUGGCCACGAUUACUGGCAGAUUGGUUUCGUUUUGCAUUGUGCUGCCUCCGGGCUUUACUAAUCGCAGCAUUGUCGCGAGGCUUUGGGCACUCCUUCACAGAGUGACCAUACGAACCGCAAUUGAAACAACGUGAAUCUUCUUUUUCAACCCUGCCAACAAAACAAAACAUUCUAUCUUGUAGCUAGUUCAAGGAAUAGAGAAGACUUUUGAGAGAGGGGGGGAGAGAGAGAGGAGCAUGACAGCGUAGACCAACGAGAGUUGAUGUUCAAUCUAAGAAUAUAUAUUCAGACACUCUAGGUAAUUAUUGAUUCGAAUUGUUGGUAUAAUUAGGAUAUAAAAGCCACAUAGCCAAUCUUUUGAAUCUUAAGUAUCUGACUUAUGCUCGAACCAUUUUGAACUAGUGCCACCACAAAAAGGGAAGGAAAAAAGCCAAAAAAAUAGAAUAAAUUGGUCGUCAAUAGUGUAUACUUUAGUUUACUGUAUCUUCCCUAUCUAGAUACUGUAACAAAGAAAGCAUGUAAAAUCUACACUGCCAACGGGAAGAAAAUGAAGCACCAUGUGUAGAUUGAUUGAAGUUAUAGAAAUUGCUCUAGUUUCAACAGCAAUAUAUCAUUGUGAAAUGCAUAUGUGACAUUGAAAGAAAAAUUUUAGAACAUUAUAUGCAUAUCAGCACAGUGCCUAUGCAAGAACUCUCUUGUGAGUAAAGAAAAGGUUUUACCUUUCAAAGCUAGCUGAACCAUCAAGUGAAGUUGAAGCCAAUGCAUAUUCACGAUCAUAAAGAGGAACCGAGUCAUUGCCCUUAACAACACCUUCUCUUGCUUGGUUGUCUAACCAAAAUGACUUCAUGCCAUCAAAGAAAAAGAAGAAAAGUGAAAAGAAGAGAUUGUAAAUGUUAGAGGCCCACGAGCAACAGCUAAGAGAACUUUAAAACAGAAUUCAAACUAACACACAAAAGGCUUCAUCUUGAAGACACCAUUAUGCAUUCUGCAUAAUAGUGUGCAUGCAAAGCGAAUUAGAAUCUAAAAGAGAAAUACUUGCAUCCACUAAAUGUCCAUUCUGAUUUUUCAUUCUCUAUAUUUUCCACUAAAUAUACUAGUCCUCGUUUAAACCCUCUCUCAUAUUUGCACCUUAAGUCACAAGAAAAUAGGUUAAUGUAGACAAAGCAGAAAUAGCAUGUUUUAUUAUCUUUCACCAGCAACAUAAAAGAAUAACGGAACUCCAAAAGAAACAUAUAAUACAAAACAAGAGGCAAAAAUGAAGGGGGGUCAUUUCUGUAGUAAAAGGAGAUAUAGAUGAAGAAUUUAUUGCCCAAAAAGAUCUGGAGCAGCCUACAAUUCACUGAAACAGAAGAAACUAUAAAUGACAGAUACAAUGCUGCUUGUUAUUCACUAAAAAGGAAGAUAGAAGAGAUGACAUACUUAAGAUUGACAAAAUCUUUCAAGCUUAAAUUCAUUUGUUCAGUGAAUAGAUCCAUGCAAAUUACCCGAUACAAACAUACCACAGUAGAAGAUUUCUCAGAGACCAGAUGUAGUGCUGGAAAGUACGUCUCUUCACCGCUCUCCAAGGGCUCCAUUGUGGAAUCCUAUCAACCAUCCGCAACGACAUAUUCAUUCGAACAUCAGUACAGUAAUGAAACUGAAGUUCACUAUCACCCAUCAUAUAGUAACACAUGAAAAUGAUUCCUUUAUCUUCCCUUCUUGUUCCUCUUAAUCCGUAUUAAAAUUUAACCAUUCCGAAGAUCAAAUAGGAUAAGCAGCGAUAAAUAACUGUUAAAGUCUUUAGUAACGAAAAUCUUUAAAUGCUAAAUUCUUUAUAUAUGGUUUCUGCAACAGGAAUUGUAAUGAUUACAUUCGCUGGCCAGCUGCAGGUGAUCUUAUAGGGUAUUAUAGGUGCAUUAUACACUACUUAAUGUUUAAAAUGUUCCGCCAGCAGCGAAAGGAGGUAGUAAUAUUCUAUGAUUUGGUAGAAUAGCAAAACAGCUUGAGACUCAUUUUAUACUUCCUGGUUUCCACUAUUUAAGGCAAUAAGCUGUGAACAUUCGAUAAUUAUCUCCCUUUCCCUCUAAAGAGAAGUCUUUAACAGAACCAAAAAAAUUCAAAGAAAAUCUAGAAUAUCAUAACUCAAGGGAUUCAAAAUGCAACAAAAAUAUUACUUUUGUAGAAGACUGGUACUGUGCUUGCCACUCCGACCAUACUUGCAUGAGUUCAGUAAGCUUUCUUUUGCUUUCUCUGGAUCAUAAUAGACUAACUCAUUAGACAAAUGGCAAGCUCUUGUAACAAUAUAAAGUUCGAGAUAUAUUUAUAUGUGAUAAGAUACUUAUUCUGAACCAACCUUGCCAAUGAGCUGUAAAUUACACGUACUGAGGGUUGUUUAUCAAUAGAUGUUACUCGAGCUCUUUUUAUUCCUGCUAUAGCUAGCGCUCUAUAUUAGGGAAGGACAAGGAUACAAGUAUAAAACUUAUCCAAGUCAAGAAAAGACACACAAAGAAUUCAUUUCAUUCAUUUGCCAAAUAAUGUUGAUUUAGAUAAUUAAAACCAAUUACCUGUAGAAGUUGUGCCAGAUAAUUCUCCCUCCAGUGAUGUACUUAUUUGGGAGGCAAUACAUGAUACAAAAAGAGGAAUAUAGAAAAGGAUACGUCUAUCAUCAAUCAAAAGACUGUUAGAAGUGCUGGUCACAGUAGCAACAAACUGAACACUUUCUUGAAUGAUGGGUUGUUUCUCAAUGAUAUCAUCUUCGAGAUCCAUAUCCUGCUCAUGUUGGUUUUCUUCAGCUUCAAAGCUCCCUUCAGAAUUCUUUACACUCUCCCUAUUAGGUAAGUCCUCUUUCAAUUGAGGUGUACUGGUUGGCGAAUUAUUUUCACGAAGACCCAACCCCAAUCCUUGUCCACCAUUUUCUUUGUCAGUCUCGCUGUUGUCGCAAGACGAAUCGAGAUUGAUGAAAUCAUCUUCUUUCAUAUUUUCUUAGAUGUUUUGAACUUUUGAUCUACGAGCUCCUUCGAUCAAUAAACAUCGACACGAGGGAACGAAAGCAAAUGGCACGGGAGGCUUAACAUUUCAUCAAACACCUUACCUACAUGGAUGAAAUAAUCAAUUUCCCAUGUUACAGAGAACUCAAGACCAUAAAUCUCUCAACAUUUAUCAUUCUUCUAUACUAAUCCUAAGAAAAGCAUUAAAAAAUAUAUAUAUGUUUUCCCUAACUUUUUCUUGCUCACAAAUUAGUAAGCUCUCCACAUUUUAGACCACAUUUCAGAUUAACAAACAGCAAAAUGACAUUUCGUCAAACACCUUACCUACAUGAAUGGAAUCAUCAAUUACAAGUUACGGCAAUCUCAACUUUUACAAUUUUUUAAUACUAAUUCAAAGAAAACUUUAAAAAAAGAAGUUUUUUUUUUUUUUUUUUUUUUUUUUUUUUUAGCUAAUUGACUAACUCUUGCUCCAAAAUUCCCAAUUUUCCACAUUAUAGACCACGUUUCAGAUUAAAAUAAAAACAGUAAAACAAUACACAAGAACACAAAUCGAAUGCAGUGGUACACCAAUACGCUCCAAAUUUCUCAUCCUCCACAACUCUUCCUACACUAUUCCCAAUAAAAGUAUUUUUUUAAAGAAAAAAGAGAGCCUUUUUUUUUAUCUCAUAGAUCACCAACUCUUGCUCUAAAACUCACAAUUGAAGACCAUGUUUGAGACGAAGAAACACUAAAAUUGUAUGCACGAACACAAAUUGACUGCAAUGGUAGCAGUAAGCGAUCUCUCCCGCCGCUCCACCAUCCCAUCCGAAACGAGAGGAGAGUGGGAGAGAUUUAGGGUUUUCGACAGAGCAAAAACUUGUAAGAGGCGAUCUCCUUACCGAGAAGGGCGAUGGCGAGGACGAAGAGUGGUGGGAUGAGGGAGGGGAUUUAGAGAGAGAGAGAGAGAGAGAGAGGGAUUUGGAUUUGGAUUUGGAUUUGGAUGCGAAACCUUGUCCGAGGAGGGGUGGGGGGAAGGAGAGUACGGAUUCUCUCUAAUGUACACAAUUUGUAGACCAUGUGUACCACGUCAGCAUUUGCAGUGGCCAAUGGAAGAACAGGAUCCGAGUGAGUGUUGGUGCACCGAGUCUAGGAACGUUUGUCAAAAUCCAAGGUGUACCACGUGUACGGAUCCCACACAAUUUGUAGACCAGGUGUACCACGUCAGCAUUUGCAGUGGCCAAUGGAAGAACAGGAUCGGAGUGAUUGUUGGUGCACCGAGUCUAGGAGCGUUUGUUCAAUCCAAGGGGGAGAGAGAUGAAGCGAUUUUUAACAAUAAAAGCCCACUUUUAUUAUUCACUAGUGAAAUACCCGCGCGAUACUGUAGGUAUAAAAAUAUUUUUAUAAUAAUUUUUAGUUUUUUAUUUUUUAUAUAAUUUUAUAAGUCUAAUUAUUAAUUAAAUAAAGUUAUAUGAAAAUCAUUUAAUAGCGAUGAUGCGGAUAUAAAAAUAUUUUUAUAAUAACCUUUAGUUUUUUAUUUUUUAUAUAAUUUUAUAAGUCUAAUUAUUAAUUAAAUAAAGUUAUAUGAAAAUCAUUUAAUAGCGAUGAUGCGGAUAUAAAAAUAUUUUUAUAAUAACCUUUAGUUUUUUAUUUUUUAUAUAAUUUUAUAAGUCUAAUUAUUNUUCGUCAAACACCUUACCUACAUGAAUGGAAUCAUCAAUUACAAGUUACGGCAGUCUCAACUUUUACAAUUUUUUAAUACUAAUUCAAAGAAAACUUUAAAAAAAAAAUUUUUUUUUUUUUUUUUGCUAAUUGACUAACUCUUGCUCCAAAAUUCCGAAUUUUCCACAUUAUAGACCACGUUUCAGAUUAAAAUAAAAACAGUAAAACAAUACACAAGAACACAAAUCGAAUGCAGUGGUACACCAAUACGCUCCAAAUUUCUCAUCCUCCACAAUUCUUCCUACACUAAUCCCAAUAAAAGUAUUUUUUUAAAGAAAAAAGAGAGCCUUUUUUUAUCUCAUAGAUCACCAACUCUUGCUCUAAAACUCACAAUUGAAGACCAUGUUUGAGACGAAGAAACACUAAAAUUGUAUGUACGAACACAAAUUGACUGCAAUGGUAGCAGUAAGCGAUCUCUCCCGCCGCUCCGCCAUCCCAUCCGAAACAAGAGGAGAGUGGGAGAGAUUUAGGGUUUUCGACAGAGCAAAGACUUGUAAGAGGCGAUCUCCUUACCGAGAAGGGCGAUGGCGAGGACGAAGAGUGGUGGGAUGAGGGAGGGGAUUUAGAGAGAGAGAGAGAGAGAGGGAUUUGGAUUUGGAUUUGGAUUUGGAUGCGAAACCUUGUCCGAGGAGGGGUGGGGGGAAGGAGAGUACGGAUUCUCUCUAAUGUACACAAUUUGUAGACCAGGUGUACCACGUCAGCAUAUGCAGUGGCCAAUGGAAGAACAGGAUCGGGGUGAGUGUUGGUGCACCGAGUCUAGGAACGUUUGUCAAAAUCCAGGGUGUACCACGUGUACGAUCCUCUCAAUGCACACAAUUUGUAGACCAGGUGUACCACGUCAGCAUUUGCAGUGGCCAAUGGAAGAACAGGAUCGGAGUGAUUGUUGGUGCACCGAGUCUAGGAGCGUUUGUUCAAUCCAAGGUGGAGAGAGAUGAAGCAAUUCUUAACUAUAAAAGCCCACUUUUAUUAUUCAUUUCCCGUGUCGAUCGAAACUCAAACUCAAUGAAAAUAUCGUAAUAAAUAACAAAUUAUGAAUGCUAAACCUCUCCGACGAGCUAAAACUGAACAUCUACAACAAUAUUUUGAUCUUCAAACUAUAAUGCAGGUGACAAUUUUGUUGCUUAUAUUUCAGGCUAAAUUACAGAAAAUCUUCCUGUAAUAACCUGCUUUUUUACUUUCUCCUUCUGACAUUUAAAAACCUACACUUUGUUCCCUUGUAAAAUAAAAAAUGUGCACUUCACUCCCUACCGAUAGGGUUUCGUUAGGAUUCCGUUAUAAAAUAUUUUUUAUGCCGAAAAUAUCCCUCCGCCCUCUUUCUUGUUGCUUCGCCUCCCUCCGACUCACCGCCUCGCCGUCCUCCACUGCCUCGCCCUCGCCCACAUCCCCUUCGCCCUCCUCCGCCGCCUCGCCUUUGCCCUCGUUGCCCUUGCCUACCUCUCCAUCAACACCCACCUCAAUUUCCUCCCUACUACCGUCGAAAUCGAGGGACGACGAGGGUGCAGGAGGAGAAGGGUAGCAGGUGGAGAAGGAAAUGGAGAAAAAUCGCGACCGAUUGAGGUGGAAAUCGCUGCCGAUCGAAGGGGCUGCUGAAGAAGAUGAGGAAGAAGACGAAAAUGGCGAGGAACAAAAUAAUCAUUUUACACACCGUAAUUCCCAUGUGAACAUUUUUCAUUUUACAAAGAAGCAAAAUGUAAAUUUUUAAAUAUCAGGAGUGGAAAGUGAAAAAAGAGAUUAUUACAUGAGAAUUUUUUGUAAUUUAGCCUAUAUAUUUUAAUUUAUCAUAAUUUCUGACUUAAAAUUUAGAUUGUUGCAACUAAAUUUUAUAGCCCAAAUAGUGACAUAUUGCGAUUACUAAUAUUAGUUAUUAUCAGUUCAUCAACCACAGCACUGCUACGUUACUUUUAUAUCAACAAUACAUGACCUUUCAUUCAAAACUUACAACAAAUUAAAAUUUUGAAGAUCAAAAUUAUAAUUCGAGGGCUUUUCCAAAAAGUGUAGUUUAACCUAAAACAAAGAGAUAAAUAAAGUGUAAAGAGAAUCUAAGGCCACCAUUCAAUGAUAUNGGACACGUGUCACCCCAUGGUCCCCCCCAUGGUCCUCCCAAACCCUUCUUUAAUGUAGUAGUAUAGAUUUUCCGUGUCGAUCGAAACUCAAACUCAAUGAAAAUAUCGUAAUAAACAACAAAUUAUGAAUGCUAAACCUCUUCGACGAGCUAAAACUGAACAUCUACAACAAUAUUUUGAUCUUCAAACUAUAAUGCAGUGACAAUUUUGUUGCUUAUAUUUUAGGCUAAAUUACAGAAAACCCCUCUGUAAUAACCUGCUUUUUCACUUUCCCCCCCUGAUAUUUAAAAACCUAUACUUUUUCCCCUUGUAAAACGAAAAAUAUGCACUUCACUCUCUACCGUUAGAGUUUCGUUAAGGUUCCGUUAUAAAAUAUUUUUUUAUGCCGAAAAUAUCCCUCUGCCCUCUUUCUUGUUCCCUCGCCUCCCUCCGACUCGCCGCCUCGCCGCCUCGCCAUUCUCCACUGCCUCGCAAUCGCCCACAUCCCCUUCGCCCUCCUCUGCCGCCUCGCCUUCGCCUUCGUUGCCCUUGCCUACCUCUCCAUCAACAUCCACCUCGAUUUUCUCCCUACUAUCGUUGAAAUCGAGAGGCGGCGAGGGUGCAAGAGGAGAAGGAGAGCAGGUGGAGAAGAAAAUGGAGAAAAAUCGCGGCCGAUUGAAGUGGGAAUCGCUGCCGAUCGAAUGAGCGGCUGAGGAAGAUAAGGAAGAAGACGAAAAUGGCGAGGGGCAAAAUAAUCAUUUUACACACCGUAACCCCUAUGUGAACAUUUUUCAUUUACAAAGAAGCAAAAUAUAGAUUUUUAAAUGUCAGGAGAGGAAAGUGAAAAAAGAGAUUAUUACAUAAAAGUUUUUUGUAAUUUAGCUUAUAUAUUUUAAUUUAUCAUAAUUUCAGACUUAAAAUUUAGAUUGUUGCAACUAAAUUUUAUAGCCCAAAUAGUGACAUAUUGCGAUUACUAAUAUUAGUUAUUAUCAGUUCAUCAACCACGGCACUGCUACGUUACUUUUAUAUCAACAAUACAUGACCUUUCAUUCAAAACUAACAACAAAUUAAAAUUUUGAAGAUUAAAAUUAUAAUUCGAGGACUUUCCAAAAAGUGUAGUUUAACCUAAAACAAAGAGAUAAAUAAAGUGUAAAGAGAAAAUCUAAGGCCACCAUUCAAUGAUAAUACAGAGAAAAGAUUACAUUACACACAAAAUUUACUAAUCGAGGGGAUCAUAACUACACACUGAUAUGCAAAAUUGCAGCAGGAAUUUUCGAACAUAAAACAUUCCUGCCGCAGAACCCUAUUUACUGUGCUCACAUAAACAUGAACACAACACUAUCUAUUGCUCUUCUCCAAUUUUUUUGCUGUAUUAUUUACACGGAUGGGCGUCUUCGCGCUUCGAAUUUCACUUAGCCGCCGCUCUUAUUUACAUUCUCUUACUAAACCCAGCGGCACGAAGCCGCAUUGAGAACAUCGCGAGAGAUAUUCGGGCAAGUACGUGUCUUUAAUGGGUGUCUCGGUGCUUCUGUGGAAGAACAGCGGAAUCGCUGCAUCGCAUCUUCCAGAAGGUUCCGUGCCGCUGAUGUCAAAUCCAGGAGAUACCACUGUACAAUGGCGACACGAGAACCAUGAAAUUAAUUCGGAUAGUUUUAAAGAAGUUUAAGAUUUUAUCACUUAACAGUAGCUGAUUACUGAAACAGGUUUACGCAAAGAGGCUAUUUAUGUAAAGAAUUCAUACCGUAAUUCUGAACAUUCCACCAUUUUUUUUGCGGCAUUCUCAACGCGAAACCCUCUCAGAAACCGAGCGAUCCGAGCCCUGAAGCAGCAUCGAAGCAGAGCUGCAAACAAAAUAGCUUCUUCAAGUAGCUCAAUCCUGGACUAAAUGGCUUCUAGCCUUACUGCUGCUUUUGUGAAAACAGAUAAAAGAAAUGGCGCUUCUUCCCCGGGUUGGAUAGUCGUCGGCACUAUAGUAUAUCCCUUCGGAUAGGGCUCCAAAACUAGUUCACACGAUAUUUCUCUCGAGUUCACAUAAUCCGUUCCACCGACCGAUUCAUGCAAAUAGAUAUUAUAUGCAGCUCGAUGGCCCCUCGUUUUAAGUAUCCUCAUUCCGAUGUAAAACAUGGACGAAUCAUGACUCGAUUGAUAGUUCCUGAAACCGCUUGCCUUUCUGGAGAAACUUACACCCUGUAUACAGUUUUAGUAAGAGCCCGAUCAGAUUCUCGAAUAAUUGGAGAUGAAUUAUAGGGAAAUUUAUAUGCCAAACCCCUAACUCUUCAUACAAAUCUCAAACUUCUAAGCUUUUCUUAGAAGCCUUUAAUGAGAAUCAUUUGACGGAAACUAAGAAUAUUGUGUUAGCGAUUUCUGUCGCUUUAUAACACUCUGCAAUUGACAACAUAUAAAUUGUGGGAUUUAGAUGUGCAUAUUAUAUUCAAGGUGUUAACCCAUAAUAAAGAGAGAAGUUACAACUGCUAUGUUUGGUUUCGGAAUAAGCCAGAGAACAAAAAGUUUAUCCUCUCUAUUCCACCAAACAUUGUAAAAAAAUGGUCGGAAUAGUUAUCCCGGGAAUAACUGUUCAACCUUUCUAGAGGAAUAGGACUAUUUUCUCAUAUUUAUACUCAGCUUAUUAAAGAUAAUUAAAGUAAUAUAAAAUAAUGGUUAUAUACUGAAAAAAUUAUGGUUAGAUUCUGCUGGAAGAUGGACUUUUUCGAAAGAACAAAUUAGGAUCCUCAUGUAGAGUUUCGAAUUUAAUUGAAUGAGAAAUUGGUCUGAAAGAAUACCUGGGUUAGGGUUAUAAACACGUGAACGGGAAGUGAUGCAUCGGGGCCCAUUACACGAAGCCGGAAUUGCGGGUUUUGAUGCCAUGAAUCGUAAUCCUGGCAGCCGCCGGCAGUAGAGCCCCGCCACUGGCCGUGGAUUGUAUAGCGCAUCUCAGGCGGGUAGACACGGCAUAUGUAUAUAGAGCGGAAGUGGAUCUGAAAGUCUUGCCAUGACAUCCAGAAUAUCCCGUCCUUCGACUGCCGAAUAAAAGAAUCAAGUUACAAUGAUGCCAAGUGCAAUAUAUUUCACAAUAUCUGAAACAGAAAUAGCAGGACUCAUUACCUGAGGAACAUGCUUCAGCUUAUGCUUCAUUCGGUCGGUCCACUCGGCCGACGAGUCUGACCAAGGCCCAUUCCACUCGACCUCGUUCGCCCAUGGAUUUCGGAUCUGAACAAGCUUGUGGCCAUCAACUUCUCUAACCUGAAUCACCAAUUUAUUUAAACGAAGAAGAUAAGGCAACAUUACCACCUUCCAUCAGAACCUUUUGUAACUUUUUUCACAGAAUAUUCUUUUACAUGAUUGUACUUAAGAUUUUUUUUUUUUUUUCUUUGAUGGAAACCAUUAAAUUCCAAUAGAACUUGACGAAGACUAGAUACAGAAAUGUAUAGUUUUAACAUUCAAGUACCUAUUUCAAGCCGUGCAAUAGUUUAGGUAGUGAUUUUACAUUUUUCACCUUCAUAGAAUUUAGUCAAGAAAGACCAACAAAAACACAGCUUCUACCUGCAAUAUCGAGUAAGCAUGGCCUUGCACGAUGCCGCUUGAUGAGAUGUGCACAUCAGAGCCAGAUGGGCUCCCCGCACCGAGCAAAAAUCCUUCUUGCUUAAAAUGCAACAUCUGGGACCAUAAUCGUCCGCUAGCCAAAUCAAUUUGAGCUUGAGCGCUCCUCAUAUCAAUCUCUUCUCCGGCCCCACCGGUUAAAUCGACGAGGGCGUCUUGUACAAGCCCGCCUUCUAACGCUUCAUAAGAGCCAUGAAGUUUGGCGUAAGCCUUUUCGAGGAUAGAUACCCAAAGUUCGUUGCGCUUCUUACUAGUGGCGAAUGCAGGUUUCCCGGGGGACUCGCAAGGAAUCCAAUCGUCAACUACCACAGGGACCCACUCACCCUGCAUAAAAAAAUAUGUAGACUUUGUAAGGAAGCAGUACUUGGAUGUGUAAUUGAAAAGGAAACUAACCUUAGGGCUAGUAUUUUGUACUCUUAUUCUUCGAAACAAUAACAAACUUCCACGUGAAAAUUUAAGAAGUAAACCCAUUCAAUUGGGAAUGUUUCCAGCAUUAGUCGCAGUUAAUGAUAAGGAGAAGCAAAAAUAUAGCUUAAAACACUGGUCACAUUACCAGCUAAAGGCGCAGCAUACCCUAAGACAUUACAAUUUUAUCUCUUAACCACUCGACAAUCUUUAUUGUCUUCUUUUACAUUAUAAAUAAGUGCAAAAAAUAAAGAAAAUCAGCUAGUAACGACAUUAUAUGAGAAAACAAAAGAAUGUGUUUCACAUUGUUGCUUCUUUUUAUGUCACUCAUAAACACUUUCAACUACAAUUCAAAACGCAACUUUUAUACCUGAAUACAGAAGCGUACAGUGUAAAUUCCCUCUUCAUUAAACUCUGGAGUGAUUAUAACUUCUGAUAUACGGGACUCCUCAGUUAGCACGGCAACAGCACUUAAAAACCAGCAGUCACCUAACCUACCCUGCAAACAUGGAAAAAUAUGCAGGUGAGUAUAGAGUCGAGAAUGACGCCCGCUAUCCACCUAUUAGGUCCAUCGCAAAAUGUUUAGGGAAGGGCAUUUAAUGGAAAAGUGGCUUUUAAAUGUAUAUGUCCGUGCAAAAAACAUUCGUUUAUCUACAUACCUCUAUAAAAAAAAUUGACUUGUUCAUCAUCUAUACUAACCAAUUGGGCAAAAAAUGCUAUUCUUUAGGAGUCGUUCAAUUCGUUUAAAGAGUGGAAUUUCACAAGCACAAUGAUAUGGCAAGAAGUUAAAUUUUUAACAGAAUAUAUGAAAUUCAGAUUUGCAGGGAUAAACAUCUGUAAUAAUAUUGGAGGGAAAUAUAUGCUUUGUAUCCUAUUAAAACAGAAGGGAAGAUGCAUAAUUGUCUUCACAUACAACAACUAGAAAGUGUUGAAGGCAGGAAAAGGGGAUAUCGAUACCUGACAAACAUCCGAGGAAUUCACAGUACCAGAAUAUAAGCAGGGUUGAAAGCCAACACCACACUCUUUCACAAUAUCAAUCGGCCUGGUCCACUCGGAAACAACCUAAGGUAGUAAAUGAUAGAUAACUACAAGUCAAACAACAAACUUCAUAUUUAAUGUUAUCUAUUAAUCAAAAAUAGGUAGCAAAAGGAAAAGGCUAUAUCACAAAAAACACCAAUUCCUUAACAACUAGCUCAUCCGACAUUGCUAUUUGCUCGUCUCGAAUACGUCCUAAAAUUUAGGAUAAUGUUCGAUUCAAAUGCAAAACUUCACGACAACAAGGUGGCAUAUAAUGUAGGUUCUAUAUGUAAACACGUAUGUUAUUUGCAGUAAAUAAUAAUAAUAAUAAUAAUAAUAAUAAAAUCUAAAAGAAAAAGAGAGAGAGAGAGAGAGAGAUGGUCUUCUUCACUGGAGAAUAGAGCUACAAAACGGGCAGUUUAGAGGGCUCUAUGUUCAGGUAAUGUGAUUCUUUUCUAUUGAGUAUAACAAAAUAUUAUUACAGGUGAAAGUGCAGGGGUGGUUUAUUGUAGACAGCUCAUGAGAAUGUUACAUGCCUGCAGUUUUAGAGGCGGGUUCCCUGGAUCAACAUAUAAAGAUCGAUCAUUUGGAGGGAACUCCUGAUCGGUGAACUGAGUCUCCCCUUUUGUUAAAAGGGCUUCUCUAACAGCCCUUUCGACAGAUAACAUCCGUUGAUUAACUUCCUCUUGUGAUUCAAACCACUGUUUCCUCAAUUUUCUAGAAAAGGAAUCUAUAUCGAUAGCUAUUCCUUCGCGCCCCGACCUCCUUUUUCGCCCACUUGAGUAUUGCCCGUCCCAGUCUACAUCCUCCCUAUCAUACAAUUCAACUUCUGCUUCUUCACUUCCCCAGUCCUCCACCUGAAAGGCAAAAACAGUGCAGACAAAGAAAAUAAAAAUAAUAAAAAAAAAGAACCACUAGACUUGUCGGAAAUAGCCUGAAUGUCUCCAAAAUCCAGCAUAUUUGCAUAUUCAUUUCUGCAAUUUUAACUUUUAUCAUACUCUACACAAAAUUUUACCAUUAAAAUUUGAUCUUUUCAUCUAGAUGAUUGUUUUACCCUUUCAAACAUAUCACUCCAUGAUUUUUGAACUGUCACUCUACUUCCCAACUUUUUUAGUCUUCUCUGCCAUGUCACCCAAUGUGAUUCAUAAAUCAAAAAUAUUUUUUUCCUGCUCAAAUUUGACUGGAAAAAUUUUAUAAGAGCAAAUUUAAAUGGCCAUUUAAAAAAUGAUUUAGAUAAAACACAGUCAAAAGUUAAAGGGCCAUUUACAUUUGCCAAUUCAGAGGAACAAUGUAUGAUAAACUUAGAAACACAUUUUUAAACCUACAGGUAUAAAUUUAUUAUUUAAUGUCUACAACUGCACCUAAAACUGAAAAUCAUCAAAUAAUAAUUUCUCAGAAGCGUUAACGUUCAUACCCUCAAAGGUGAAUCGAUUCCAUUCCAUCCAUCUUCCCCAAGAUCAAUCAAGCCAUAAUCUCCCGCACUAGUAGAAGCAUGAAAUGCAGCAAUCUCAUCCUCACUCAGGCAUCUCCCCCAUAAGAAAGCAUCCAUUAUUUGCAUUUUGGAAUCCGCACCUUCACUAUCCGACCGUCCGAAAGCAUCUAAAUCAGUUGGUGGUCGAGCGCCAACCCAGAUAUCGGUUCCAGGUUCCCAUAUGCCACUUCUUUGAAGUGGUAGUGCACCCUGAUACCCAUCAAACCCUCCAUCUACGAAGGAAGUUGCCUCACCUAGAUCAGCAUCUAAAGUUAUAGUAACAGUAUGCCACCUGCAAGUAUGAACAUGUACAUUAACUAGAGGACAUAGAUAGUGAAAACCACAAAAGCAUUUCCGACAAAUCAACAUUUUUCAGUAAACAGUUUGCCACAGAGAUAAUUAUGUAUAUAUCACUGCAAAAUCUUAUAUUGUUGGUACAGCAGCGAGAAUAUUUUAAAUCACACAUAGCGCCGUUGAGAGGUGCAGUUUCUUGAAAAAGUAAAUACCCUUGUCUUUAAGGGGAGAAAAUAAGUUGUAUAAACAGGGUUUUAUAAAGAGGUGCACUUCUGCAUGUCAACAAGAGUAUAUCAACAAGAGUAUAUAGUAAGAGAUUAGCUUUUUGAAGGGCAAAUACGAAAUUUAAAUUUUGCAGGAAUAUACAUUUACAAGAGGCAAUUUUGCAUGAAUAUAUAUGAGAGUAUUAUUUUAUAAUAUAAAAUAUACAAUAAAGCAAGAAGUGGGGCCAAAUGUCGCAAUAACAGUAGUUACCUUCCAUCUGCGAUGCUCGAAGCGCCUAUAUUCCACUCCUUAGCAACAGUAGUCAGUCUAUCACCUUUUGUAACCAAGCGGAGGCCAACCUGCCCGGCCUCAAUACCUUGUUCGGAACCAGCCACAAGGAUUUCCCAACAAACCUUCUUUUGAAACUCAGUUCCUAGAAGACAAACAGGACCUGAUUCUGGUUGCACCAUGACUGCGAUCGAAAAGCUGAUUUUUUGGGUUCGACAGAUAGUAGGAUCGAUUUCUCCACAAUGCCUUCCAGUACUUCUAGGUUCAUCAUCAAGGACACAUACUGCGCCUGGGAUGCCGGUCUGUUGAAUAUUAUAUGCUAACAAAUUAGAAAAAUCAUCAUGUAAAAGAGUACCUAACAACUGAAAUUAGAGGGUCAAUUACAAAUUUAGUAACUACGGUUGGAUAUCGAUUUCAAUUUCAUCCUCAAAAUUUCAAUUUGAUAACAAUUUAAUCACCGAAAUUUGCUCCGCAUAACAAUUAAAUCUUUUCGUUAAUCUACCAUCUUAGAAAGGCGUCAUGCACUUAAAGAGGUGAAAUCAAAACCAAAAUCAAAUUUCAGGGAUUGCACUGUCAAAAGCAAAACUCCAAGACAAAAUUGUUGCUAAGCCAAACUUCGGAGUCCAAAAUAAGUGAAAUCGAAACACUAAGACAAAAUUGGAUCUCGUUUCAGGAACUUGGUUGGUAAUUAACCCUAAACAAGAAAAUAUUUUGACGAAAUAUAAACCUGUUCAGCUCGACGAGCCAACUGCGCUGCUCGUAUUCGACGAGCAAUAUUGGAAACCCGUUCCCUCGCGAAAGAAUCAUCCAAUGCAGAAUCGCCACCCACAGCACGAACGGCAGCCGCCAUUGCUGCAGCAUCCCGGUUUCCAACAUUCGGCAUAGAGGACAAUAAAGAAGUCUCUAUCUCUUUCCAUUUGCGUUCCUCUUUUUCCAAAAGAACUUUCCUUCUUUCUUUUCCUUUCCCUUCCUCUUCCCGCCUUUGCAUCAAAAUCUCCUCUUCCAUCUCUUUUUCCCUUAUGUAGCUGCAGAGAUUUCACAACAACUGUAUAAAUAACUAGUGGAAUUUCAUAAAAACCAUCAAGUAAAAUAGAGAUAUUUUUGCUUUUAAAUCUGCAGAGAAACUUUUGUAUACAAAGAUAUCUUUUCUCGACAACUGAGGUUUCCUAUAUUCAUUUCAGAAACAUACUUCAUUACAUCUUAGAUCCUUGUACUUUCAAAAUAAUCAAUCCCUCCCCUCCCCUCCACCCCCCUUUUCAGAAAAGAAAAGAAAAUCUUUCCAACAGAAGGCCAAUUUCCCCACAUGAAUUGAAUGACAUUCCGGCUUAUGGGAAUUGUUAUAAGAAACUGCUUUUUUAANUAUAUAUAUGUAUAUAUAUAUAUAUAUAUAUAUAUAUAUAUAUAUAUAUAUAUAUAGAAUCCUUGCCCUUAAUUCAACAUUUAAAGUCAUCCAAACAUGCUUACAGAACCAAUACUGACCUUUCCUGGAUCAACUCAAAUUGCCUCCGAUCUUCUGGCAUCCAUUUCUUGAUUUCCUUUGCACUUAAAUCUGACAGGCCUAUACUAUCAAGGAAAAGCCUAAGGCGGACCUCAUCCUGUCAAAAGUAAAAAAAAUGAUCCAAAAUAACAGUUAAAGUUUGAAUUUCUUUGGAAGACGAGGCAGAAACAGAAAAAAAAAAGAGAGAGAAAUAAACAAGCUCUUACUUGUAUCUGUUCAGCCUUGGCAGUCAAACCAAGUAAAAGAAGCAAAUAACCACCGAAUUUAUCCCACAUAUACACCCACUCAGUGUCGAUCGCCUCCUCUAAAGCUAAAAUACGUGCAUGCGCACACAUUUUCCUUCUGUAAUCUACAUCCGCAGGGGAAUCAUGCCGAAAUGCAAAACAGGUUUUAAGUCUAUAAAGAAAAGAACCAGCUGCAAUUUCUUCAUUUCUCAGACGAUCUCUCAAUUUUAACACAUCGGCUCUCGGAAGCACAAAAUUUCCGGCCCUAUCCCGUGUAAUGGCGGGAUCUCCAAUCAGAAGAGCAGCUGAGCUAGCAGAACGCUGGGGAGCGGAGUAUGUGCCGCUUAAGGCAUUCCUGGUCUGAAUUUCCCAAACAAAAUAUCAUAAGCAUUUUUCAUCAUAAGUAGAACUACAUCUUACAUAAUUUAACAAUUAUAGAGAGCGCAGAGGUGUAUUAAAGGGGAGGGUAACUGCCAAUCUCCUGCCCAAAUGGCUAAUCUUACAUUUCAUUCACGCACUUUGUUGUAUAGCAAGCAUAAUACAACAAGAGAAGCCAAGUGAAAAUGAAGUUUUAAGAAAAUAGAAAUAACAAUAAAAAGAAAAAGAAACCAUUAAUAAUUUGUAAGGAUUUAAGUGCCGUGGCACGGGGUCGUGCCGGAAACUUGCCGGCACAGUACGGCACAGUGCGUGCCGAGCCGUACCGAUGCGUGCCGGCCAAAAAAAUUAUUGUGUGCCGACACAUAAUAGCAUGAAAUAUUUAUUUUCUUUAGCAACAAAAUAUUCUAACUAUUUAUUAUAUCUUUUUAUCGCAUCUUUUGAACUUUAUUAGGAAAUUACUUACUAAUUUAUAGAAUAGAGGGUUUUGAGCUGUGUCAUCGGCACGGGGUCUGUAUCGUGCCGGUAUCUUGUUGGCACGGUACGGCACGGUGGAUACGACCCGUGCCGACGGGCACUUAAAACCUUGUUUGUAACACAAUAACCAUACCUUGGUAACCGAGCGAGAUAUAGCUUGAACAACAGUAUCCUUGCUCAGAAAAUGUAGAGCAUCUUCCAUCAUCUGACAGUGGCAUAUUCACAAAAUUUCAAGGAAUAAGAGGACGUUAUUGCAAACCAAAUAACAGAUUGUAAAAGAAAAGAGUAAAACAAUAAGUUCUGAUCAUAUAUAACAAUAUAAGUGUCAGCAGCCAGAAAGAUGAACCAACCAUAAGCGUGAGACAUGGGCGAGAAACAGCGAAACUAAAGGCAACAACAAGAGUAAUUGCAGAUACAGCAGCUCCAGCAAAAGGAGGAUAGAUUUUCAGACUAGCAACGACACCCCAACCCUCGGUUGCCAAAGCAAUUCCGUAAAGCAAAAGAAAUGAGUGACUGUUGAAAUAAUAAUAGUAUUAUUAGAGCGGCACUCGUACUAUUAAACCAAAUUGAACAUUAAAUGAUAAGAAAGAGAAUAGAGCACAAGUAAAAGAGAUUCAGACCAGGCCAAGAAAAUAUUACUAUUUAGUCUAGGACUAACCUAACAUUUUUUGCACAGUCAGCAUGAGCAUCAUAAACAUAUACGGGUAAUACCCUUGGAGAAUAUACAACAAUAGGUGGCGAAAGAAGCACCUGAAAAAGAAAAAAGAAAAAAAAAAAAAAAGAGGAAAAAAAAGUCAACUUUAUUUCUUGCGGCAAAGAACUGUCAAGAACCAUGGAUCCAAAACUAAAUAAAAAUAAAACACAUUUAAGAGAAACAAAUAUAAAACCAUACAGUCAAUGAUCUUCCUGCGAGAAGAAACAGAAAAGAGAAGUAUCCCACAGAUGCACCGACAAAUGGUUUUCCUGCAGACAAUUAUUAACUUAGGCAUUACUAUGAGAAUUCAGGAAAUUAUAUCCUGUUAAAUGAAUCAGUUGAUAGCAAAAAUUGUCUAGAAAAGAUCUAACCACCUUCAAACAAACCCAACAGAAAUGCCGCCAAGGCAAGAAGAAAAGCAAGAAAGCAAACAAGCAACAUUUGUGUUCUUGUCAAAUAGAAACUGUUAGAAGCCCAAUACUGAAUAACACCGACAACAAAUACAAGAAGAAGAACAAUCAAGAGGAGUGCAACACCAACCUGCGAAAUAGGAAAACGCACUAAUGUAAGAAACUAAAAGGAAACUUCAAUACAUAGAGGGUCAUUGGCUACAAGAGUCCUCAAACUUUCAGCAGUUUACUUUAGUCCUCAAACCUUUCAAAUGGUGCAAUCGAGUCCUUCACAAUCUUACACUUUUCAUAGAGUUCCUCAAACAGGAUAAAAAAAAAUGUACACCUAAUCGCUGUAUGAAAAAUUAUACGGAUGGAGGAAUUUAACCGAGGUGGUAUUAUUGCAACACAACUUAAAGGCUAGCAGUCAAAUUGUAAAAAUUCAAAAGAUUAGGGACCUCACUGAAACUACAAAUGAAAAGAUGAGGACCCAGUGCAAUCUCCUUAGAACACAACUAAUUCAAGUACAUGAGUUUUAAGGGUUACUUACGGUCCAAGGCCGAAUAGUAACUAUAAUCGCUGAUAUUCCACCAAGCAACAACAGAAUUCCAAUGCCAACAAAGACAUAUACUCCACAAGAAAGUUUCCAAUCAUCAUCUUUCCUGCAAAAAUUUCCAUGAUCAUAAUUGAAGAGAGUCAAAUCAUGCAGUGGCCAGUGAAAGAAAAUGUAGAUUUACAAAAGAGAAGUUCAUAAGCCAACCAUUUGUAUAAUCCAGUAAACAGCGACAAAACUGCAGGAAUACAAAUAAGAGGAAGCAGUGCUGCAAGGAAAUCAGCCUUCAAUGGAACUUUGUCCGCUCGAGAAUUUACCACACCCCAGUAUGAUGCUCCACAGGAAGAAACAAGAACGACUACAUUGGAAAGACGAUAUAUCACAUGUCAGUAAUUAUGAUAUAGUGGUCUUAAGGGCGCAUAUGAAAAUUCAGAUAAAUAUGCAUAUAAGUGUAUAUAUGUAAAAUAGAUCAUUUUAAAGGGUAAACAUGGAAAUAUCUCAUGAUAUAGGGUCUAAAUUGUUUCAGUUGAUUUACUUGUGAACUAGUAGCAUAUUCCUGAAAGGCUUACAGGAAGCAGAACUUACGAGCAAAGACGCCAACACAUAUAGCUGAUGAAAGCGAAAAUCGGUAUGUGGCAAACCAAGCCAUAAUGGGAAGGCCAGCAGUGAAUAGCAAAGCAAUUGCUGACGUCAGUGCCCACCCGAGAUACAUAGAUGUUGCAUAAGGAGAGUAGAAGCUCUUUUUGUCACCAUCCCAUCCUCGGUAUCCUAAGUCAUCUAAAGGCUUGGCUGAUACUAUUGCACCGAGAGCUAUGACCGAUCCAGCGAAUAGUGAAAUACUGAGUGCAAGGAGAAUACGCUGAGAAGACAAAAAAAAUUGAAAAAUAUUAAAGAAAAAUGUGUCAGUAUCUCAACAUAAAACUUUCAAUGAUCUUAUAGAUAGUCAAGUAAUGCAAUCUUCAGAAACAUAAUGAUGAAAAGAUCACAAUCAGUUAAAUCCUUGCAGGGGAAUGCUUGCAAUGUCAAGCAAAAAGAGAUUCCUUCCAUUAAAUGAGUCCGCAUGAUGAAGUAAUGAAUUCACAAAAGCACCAAGCAAGUUACUUUGUUAAAUUGAUCAAGAACUGAGCAUGCUUUCCCUUUUUACAUGAUCAAGCAAGUCAGUGGAUACAACAACAGUUACAAUAUCAAAUAGUGUUUAAAGAUUGGCAUGUAUGGAAAAGAAGAGAGAGUCCAACCUCCUUCCUGGUAGGAACGUCCCGAACACUUUCACGACUUUCAAGCUCUCCUGCUGAAAUCCAGAAACGGUAGCCAUUACGUAUCCAUAUUGGUAUACCAAAUGCAAGGCAAGCCACCAUAACUGGGACAGUCAAUGCCAAGCCCAGAAUAACCGAGGAUUUGCUGCACCAUCACAUGGAAAUAUGACAGAUGAAUCAAAAGUACAAAAGAAAUACUGUAAAGUAAUAUGCACAAUGCUUUGUUGCAUAGAGAAUCUCAUCAAGUGUUGCUGAUGUGUCAGCACUGUACACGUGACAGCAGGUGACAAUUUUAGCUUUCUAGAAUUGACGACUGUCAGAGGGCAUGUCCGAAAUUCAAGAAGCCAGACCAUUCACUAUUUGCCACAUAUACAAUGUGAACUCAACAACACUUUAUAGAACUGGUUUUAUUUAUAAAGGAAGAUUCUGGUUUUAAAACAACAGCAGAUGACAGUAUAAAUUUAAAGAGUAACUAAAUCAUGUAGUCUGUUAUUUUUCAGAAACAUGAAUAUUGCAUUUAUCAUCUUACUACUUAACAAUACAUCCACUCCAAGUUUUCACCUUAAAACAGGUGGAAUCACAACUAGAUUAACCACGAACGAAUUAAUCAUGAAAUGAGAUUAUGCUCCACAAAAAAAUUGAAGUGUCUUUUUGAUUUGACAACCUACAUGUUCAUGAGUUCGUAUUCACUUCAGAUGAGAAAAAAUUAUGGCAGUUACUGUUCAUGAUAUUAAAGAAGCAGCAUUCAUACCUCAAGAAAGACAGAAGCAAACCAACACAUGUAGUCAAAAUCCACGCGAUGAAACCAUACUGGAAAUAUAAAAGCCAAAACAGAAAUGGUAAUGAGAUAUGGUAUUGUAACUGAAAUUUUAACAUGAAUUGGAACUACAAUCAAAGAAAAUAACAAAUCAAACAUAAGAACACAUUAUUGAGCAGGAAAAUGAAAUCACUCCUUUCGAAUACAAAAUUGCCUUAUAUAUAGGUGUUUGCACAGCAUUUACUGAUAGCUCAAACUAAAGAACAAAAAGCAACGCAUUUAACUACUCAGGUGUCACAGUCUACCAAGACUUCUGUUUGUUUACCAAAUAAAAAAGUAUUUUCCGUCCAAUGGUCAUUAGGUUCAUCAAUGUGCAUCAACAGAUUAAUUGUACAAUAGGCAGCUUUUCCAUUAGUAGCGACUAACAAAGACCAAAAACUUGCCUACAGAGAUGAGAACAGUAAACUCUGUACCCAAAAAUUGUUCUAGCCUCUUCUCUUCAAAAAUGAAAUAUUAAACAAUAAAACUCAACAGGAAAAAAAAAAAUGACAUCAAUGUUCCAUUUUAAAAGGAAAUUACUUUCCAAUAGAUUACCUUCCGGGGUCUGGAUGUCAUGGCCAUUUCUUCUGCUCGGAGGGAUUGAAGGAACGCCAUAACAGAACAAACAACAGGAGAAAGAAGAAGUACCGAAAAACCAAAUUCAAACUGCAAGGUGAAGUAAACGAUUAAUGCAUAAGAACAAACGUGAUCUUGAAAUCACAACUCCAAAAUAUUUUUGUAAUUAACUGCCUGUUUGGCCCCACAAAAAAGGGACCACCUCUGCUCCUGCCUUUUGCUGAAGGCACUUCUAAAAGAGCAUUGGCAAACAGAGAAGUCUGGAGCUUCUGGUGUGGCAAGAAGCUAAAAUGAGAAUGAUCACUAAAAAAAGAAGCUCCAGUUUGAAGCAGACGAUUCAGCUGUAGAAAGUUUUUAAGGACUUUGUGCUUUAAUGCUUCUUUGAAUAUCAGUACUAAAACAGCAUAUUUCGAAGCCUAUUAUCGAACAGCAGUAUUUUGAAAAGGUAAGACAGUUGCAACAUAGUUUUUACCUGCUCAUGUGUUGCAUUUAUCAACUUAACUGGCUUGGGACGAAAGAUGGCCAUUAUUACUGUCUCUACGAUAAAAACUAAGCUGAAAAGAAUCCAUGCACGUUCCGGCGUACCAGCUAUAAGGUGCAAUAUACGCCUAGAAAGAUUAAGCCAUCUAUCCAACCCGCGCCGCCUCAAUUCUUCCGAUAGGGAUAAAAUGUUCGGGAUAGUGGUAUCGACCCUACCAGAAUCAGUGGCAGCAACAUCCGCAGCCUCUGCAUGAUCUCUAUCUGCAUCUAAACUGCUUCUCUGCAACAAAGCUAGAAUCCUCGGAUCCAACCCCUUCUCCUUCAACAUGAAAGCAAAAUUUGGGUCUAGUCCUUUAUCUUCGAGUAGAUUGAUUAAUUCACGAUCUCCAUGAAGUUUCCUUUUCAGCAUAGAUGUGAUUCUUGGAUCAUUCAGCCUAUCCUCGAAAAUGGCGGCUAGAUUCAAGUCCAAAAGCUGCUGAUUUGAAUUUGCGAUUGACCCACUGGACUCGCAACCUUGGCUCUCUAAUCCACUACUAGAGCAAACAACUAGCGAACUGUUCACCAUUUCAGACUCUUGAAUAAUCGAUCGGCACGAAUUACUACGAUGGGCCAAACUUGCUCGCCCACUAUCUACAUUACCCUCUUGGCAACUAUUGGAUCGAGCAAAAAGCAUCCAGUUAUUUCCAUCACUGAUAGAUUGGGAGUUGUUUCUACACAUAGACUCAUUGGGGUUACCAUUUUGAACUGCUUCGACGCUGCCACUACUUCGUUUAACACUAGAUCCACAGCCAUCAGAUGAGCUUGAAGAGCUAUUUUGCCCUUUCCGCCUGAAUCCUUCACGAAGUCUUAUAACGGUGCUUCUUAAAGCAUCUCUCCUUGCAACAGAGGGGUUCAAAAUAGAAAGCCGACGGGAAACAGCAGCAGCUAAUAGCACAGAUGAUACGAAUGCAUAGCUAAUGCAAUGUCCAAGGUACCUGAAACAUUGAUAAUUUCAUAGUAAAUGUUAGAAAAUGAAAAGAUAUUCACAUAUUUGCCCGGAAGAAUUUUCUACUUACACUUAUAUCCCUCGAAAAUCUGAAAGUUAACAAAUAUACUUCGAAAGCCUGAUUUCUUAAAUAUAUACUCUACCUAAAAAAAUGGCCCUCUUUCAAAACAUUUUCUACUACAAAACCACAUUGUUCACAUGAAUUGGACCACUCCCAAAAUAAACACAACCAGAAAAUGCAUUAUUGAAAGGUGUAUAAUAAUCCAGAUUUUCUAGGGGUAUAUGUAUGCAAAUACAUGAUUUUGAAGUGGUCUAUAUAUAAAGCUCCAAGAUAAACACAACCAGAAAAAAAAAGAAAAAAAAAAUCUUGAAUAUGCUUAAUGAAAUAAAUAAGAGAAUGAAUAAAGACCAAUAGUGCACUCCAAAGCAGAUAAGGAAGAGCCUGGAUGUUCCAGCCACAAACAGUGCCAACACGCGACUUUUAAGUAACUCAAAUCCAAACAUGCACGAGCCAAUAUUCCAGUCUGUGAGAAGUAAAAGAAGACAUAUUGGAAAAGGAAAGAAGAAUAGAUAGUGAAAUUAAAUAAGUUAUGGAAAGAAUUCUCGAACAUUACCAAGAAUGACAACUGCAAUUGAAGUAAUCGCCCCCAACCAAUGUGCUUCUUUUGCCGUCAACCCAUACAAGAUGGAGUACAUAACAAGAAAAAGCAGUGAUCCAAGGUAGAGAAGUCCUAGAUGUAAAGCCCUGCGUUGGACAUACACAGUCAAAGGUCAAAAAAGAGAAAGCAAUAAUGAUAAAAAGAAAUUUGCUGCUUCGGAGAGAUUACAGCAAAAAACUUUAAUAAUUAACUAACUCAAAGAUUGAAGGUAAAAUAUAGAGAGGUAAAAUAUAGAGAGCUUAUCUAAACUACAACAUAUUUUGAAUAGAUGUCUAAACUUUAAGAGCUUUGGCUUUACGACUUAAUCUUCUGGUGUUUUUAAAACUCAGUAUUUGAACUUAACAUGUCUUGAUUUUACUCCACACUUUUACACAGUAUAUUUAACACUUUUAACAAAGUAACAUCUCACAGGGUAUGCUGUUACAUUGAUGGACUAUUCUAUGGAAAAUGCUGCAAAUACUGAAAGGUUUGAUAAUACAAUCAAAAUUUUAAAGGUAAGAUACCAAUUUCAAAAGGAGGCACUAUAGUUCAGGUCAGAUCUUUUACAAAGAUUAAAGCAGUUGAGAGGAUUGGCAAGAAGAGAUUUAAGAAUAAAUUUAAAGACCAACAGCAGAUGACUAACUUGAAAUGUUUCAUAAAUCAAAAGUAAAAUAAACUAUUAAAACAGAACAAGAAGAAUGUGUAGCACUUGCCUCUUGGAUUUUCUAAUAUAUAAAUCAUUUGGAUCCGGUGGAUCGGGUAAACACGAGACAGGACCCACUUCAACACAAUCAGAGUAUGCAAAUUUGUAUGACCUCCGCACAUAUUCAUCAACAUCAAACCCGUUUCCUGUUUAUAAUAAACCCAGCAAUAUAACAAAAACUAGUUCCAAUACACCAAAACAAUAGUGUCAACUGUAUAAUAAGGUUAUAUUCACUACCAAACGGAAAAAGAAUCGAAGUUACCAUUGAAGACAAUUUUGCAUAUGAAUAGCAUGUUAAUGGCCAAUGCUAUGGCAGAUACGCCAAAGAAAAAUCCUGAUGCUGAAUAACGCUCGGCGGCACUUGCGCCAGCUGUCACAUAAACAGCACAGAGUUCAUAUGCACAAAGUAGAGCUACUGCAAAGAGAAGAAGGUAAGCAACAGCCCCUGCAGUAAAGAACCAAUGGGUUAAUGAAGCAGAAAAACAACAGAAAUUGAAUAAACAAGCUCAAUGUAACAGCAUAAAUUACAUGUUAUUAUAAAAGCACUUAGGAAAAUUGACAAUAACAAUACUCCUCUUUCCUUCUUAAAAGCAGUAUGCUCAAAAUGCCCAUAAUAGUGAAUAAAUAUCCCCAAGCUGCAACAUAGAAUAAUUAAACAAUUUCUAUAUACUAAUUCUUCCUAUUAUUUAUAGGAAUACUCAUGGUUUUUUUAUCCACAUUCAUACACCAAUGAAGAGCAACAAAUGCAGAAACAAAGGAAUGAAACAUGUGAGGAAAUUGUUGUCUUAGGCUCUAGGUGCAUAUUGCAAAGAACAAAAUAAAAGCAUAUAAAUUAGGUUAAAAAACAGAAGAUGGGUAACAAAGGAUGGAAAACACAGGAAUAAGUUCCAGAAUGCAUAGCAAUUGUCAAAGUUGAUUAAAGAUCCUCAGAGUGUAUAAGUACCAACAAGUAUUGCCAAAGUCACUGCCUCCGACUUUUAAUACUUAAUAGUUGGACCACCAAGACGAUGCUGCCUCAUCCACUAUUACAGUAAGAUUAAUUUUAACCACGUUUACUAUGACAUUUCUCAAUUAUUUAAAUUGAAUUAAGAAUGUACUCUUACUUAGGUCAAGCAUCAUCGACAAUCCACUUAGAAUUCAAUGAUACUUUGGCAUGUCUCCAAUAGCUCUUCGUUUUAUUUUCUCUUUUCAAUUUUCUUUCUAUUUUAACCCCUCGUAUUUUACCUUCUUACACAAUUAUUAUGACCAAUGGAAACACAUGCCCCAUGAUUUCUUAGUUCAAUGCUCUUGAUUGAGCAUCCUAGCAGGAUGUGUUAAACAAGUUUAAUUUGGUGGCACUUCCGUAUCUUUUUAACACUCCGAAAAUUUUUCUACAUAAUUUAAAACAUAACCAGCUUCACUUGUUAAGUGCCCGCUUAAAUGCCUAGCCAGCACAUUUUUUAAAGUCUCUACUCCUCACCAUGUACACCUCGUCUAUCUUAAUAUCAAUGCAACUAAAAUUAAAUUAAAAGGGGGAGAAAAGCUCACGUCCAACAAUUUGGUGCCACCAUAUAUAUCCUUUCCUCCACUUAGGCAAGGUACCUUGUUAACUAGCCACAAUUAUUUCUACUGGCGACUAUUUUCUGUCAUAUUUGAUCUUCCCUUCCCACUAUCAUCAACUCAAAGACAAUGAACUUCUCAAUAGUAGCACCAUUAUCCAUCUCAACAGCCCAAAAUCUAAGAUGCUUAAUCUCCUCAUCUAUUUGCUUCUUGUUAGUCCUAUAUUUCAAUCAUUAUAUCCUGUACUACUUCUGUACUAGUUAUCAACCUACCAUACAACCACUUUUAAAUUUUUAAUAUAUAAGAAGCAUAGGCAUAUAAUAGCUUUAACUCUCAGAAGAUCUUAUUUAUCAUCCAGAGAAGAAAUCAUCCAGCAGCUCUCACAUUAAACUAAACUUUAGAUGCUUUAGUAGCUUCACCAAGAUUCUCUUACAGAAAGAAGGUUUUUAUAUUUAAUAACAUAAAGAAAAGGCAAACAAUUAGCAUAAAGAUUGAAAACAGGUUCAUCCCCAAAACAAAAAGGAAAAAAGAAAAAAAAAAUUAGCUAAGUAUCACAAAGACCAAAAUGUUAUAGCAUUCACGUUGGAGUACAGGAUGGAACUAGAAAUUAAUGUUGUUUUACUCCAUAGAAGGUUAAAGCCAUUGUAGCAGACAAACUACUUAACAUUUGAACAUUGAAAAGAUGAAACAUAGGAUAAAAGGAAAAAAAGAACUUCUGUGAUCACAGAUUGAAACUGCUAAUAGCAAAAAUAAAAUUUCUAUUAAUCUGGAGGAGGCAAACAGGAGAGAGAGAGAGAGAGAGAGUUGUACGGCAACAUAUGCGACUUAGAAAGUUCAAACCAUUUGAAAGAAAAAAAAUCAAACUCCACACAUAACUUUUAUUCUUAAUAUUGAAGGAAAAAAAAAACAUGACUCCACUAAUAGUAAUCACAAUAAAAGAUUGAACAUACUUGAGCUUUGCCAUUGUGUCCUCCACCAAAGCAUUAUCGAAUAGAAAGCUAGCAACAGAGCAGUGCCAGCCAUUAUCACAGCCAAACCAAUAAUAUUUCGGUCCAAAAGUGCAAUGAGAAAACUUCCCCAUGCUAUUAGAACAACAAUUGGAGAAAGGACGACAACCCAUGCAAACAGACACAGCAAACUGCAUAUUGCACUUAAGUGAAACCCUUGUAUAAUCUCUGGCCAUUUCCUUGCAUAUAUCCAACUGAAUCAUGAAAAGGGUAAAGUUAGCGCAUAAAGAAAUACAAUUAUACUACUACAAACACAAAAAGUUGACAAACAAUAAAUCAAACCAGGAAGCAAAUGAAGUUCCUACAGAAGAUUUCUCAAUACAAAAGCAUAAUUCUUGCCUGCUAGGAGUUUGAAGAAAAGCAAGUUUAAUUAACUAAGAAAAUAGUUGCACAUUUUUAUCCGAGUAUUAAGGAAGAUGAAAGUAUGCAAUUGCCACAGCAUGAAGACUGCAAUUAAUACAAAUACUCCACAGUUAUUAGAAGGAGAAAGAAGGCAGAAAGCAGUAAGCUGAGAAGGCCAGUGCCUAAGCAUUUAGGAGACAAUUAUCAAACUAUCAAUAAAAACACUAGAUUGUUCUCCAAUUAGAAGUUAGAUAUCCUGAGAAUACUAAAAACUUCAUAUUUAGCAUUACAAACUUCAUAAUUAGCAUUACAUCCUCCUAAAGUGGUCUAGUCAGCAUUAGAGCUCCCCUAUAGUGUAGUCAAAAGUAAAGAAUAAAACCAAAAUGGAGAAGUUGAAUCAAUAUAUCAAAAUAAGGUUAUGAGCUAUUUUAGAUAUCUAUAAACUGCACGAUUAUAGAAUCUCAGCAGCACCAAGCAGGCUCUAGGAUGAUCAGUUAAGCAACACAAUAACAAGACAGUUAAUUUUAUUGACAGAGUAUGACCAAUAGAAAGCAUAUUAUUACUCUAACAAAUGACAAAAAAUUAAAGUUGAUAGCCAAUAUUCAAGUUACCUAUAUAUCCUCCACGGCCGCCAAUUCACAGCCCAUAGAACCCAGAAACUGAGAGGACCGAGGACAGAGAACAGAGCACCGCACACACUGCACGCGAGAACGACCUCAUGGUGCUCGUCCACUUCCAUUGCCCCCCGUCUCCGCCAAAUCCAACCCUCAAUCCAUCAGGGAAACUCACCAAACCUACAACAAAACACAAAUCUCCCCCAAGUAUAGUAAAAAAAAAAAAAUCCAAUUUUUACCCUAAAAACAGUAGCCAAAUUAAUCCUUUCGAGCUCAAAUCAGACAUUUCCAAAAGGUCCACACAAUCUGAGGCUCAUUCUAAAAGAAUUAACCGAGAAACAGCAAAAAUCCCAUUUUUUACCCUAGAAACAGUGCCAAAACUAUCCCUUUCAAGCACAAAUCACUAACUCCCGAACAAUCCUCAGACACGGCUCGUUAUCAAAGAACUACCAAAAGUUAACAAAACAAAAUCCAAUUUUUACUCUAAAAACAGAAGCAAACUUAAUCCUUCCAAGCUCAAAUCACAAAUUCCCAAACAAUCCACACAAUCAACGGUUCAUUCCCAAACAUUUACACUAACAAGCCCUAAAGCACUACAAAAGGCGCGACUUGAGGCCCACCCCCCCCCCAUGGGGUAAGAUCUACGAGACGGAGCUCAGACACCUCGAUCUGAGCGGCGAAACCCUAGGACGGGCUUAGAGAGAGGUAGGGUAGGUGGGAGGGGAUUGAAACGUACCUCGAGCUCUUCAACAUAGAAAGGGGAGGGAGGUGGUCUCUUCUCCGAACUUUUGCAAACCCUAGAUAUGGGGGAGAGAGAGAGAGAGAGAGAGAGAGAGAGAGAGGGAGGGAGAGGAGUCGAGUGUGGAGUAGAGAGAGAGAGAGAGAGAGAGAGAGAGGGUGAGUGACAUUUGUCAAAGUAUAUGUGCGGAGUAAUAAAAUAAAAUAUAAAAUAUAAAAUAAAUAAAUAAUAAUAACAAUAAUAAUUAAAAACGUGGAGAGAGAGAGGAUGAGUGGGGAAGAGUGUGGAGAGGAAGAUAUUAGACNGAAAUUAGAGGGGCUAGUUGGAAAAGUGCGUUUGAAAAAAGAGUUUUUUUUUUUUUGGCUAAAAAAGAAAUUUUAAAUCAUUUUAUGUUUACAAAAAUGCUUUUAUGAAAAAAAAAAUCAAAUUUUCAUAAAAAGGUUUUUUUGGCCAAUUUGCAUAAAAAUUCCACAAAUUUUGAGCUUUUGCAAAACUGAGCCACAUUUUUCAAUUUUGUAGAUUUGGGUCGAAUUUUUCGUCAUCGGACAAAAAUGCCUUUAUUCCCUUUCUUUCUCUCUCUUCUUUUUUGUUCUCUUUCGCGUACGCCUCUCCGCCUCAACCCUUCCCCACCCGCUCCACCUCAACCCUCCGCGUACGCCUCUCCGCCUCCCCUGCCCCUUCCCACCCGCUUCGUCUGAACCUCUCCGCAUAUGCCUCGCCGCCUCGGCCUCGUAGACCUCUACCCACCUCCGCCCUUAUCCCUCCCCACCCGCUCCGCCUCAACCCCUCUGCAUACGCCUCUCUGCCUCGACCUCGUAGGCUUGGUGGGGUCCUAGACGAUCUCGCCCUGGAGCCCGACGAUGUCGCGGACCAUCUUGGCGAGGUCGCGGAUGGAGAUCUCGGCGCCACUGCCGACGUUGACGUGGUCAAGGUUGGAGUAGCGGUCCAUGAGGAAGAUGAGGCGUCAGCGAGGUCGUCGACGUGGAGGAACUCGCGGAGCGGGGCGCCGGAGCCCCAGACGACGAUUUUCUCCGCUAUGGCACCGGAGCCCUAGCAGGGCACCUAUCUUAAUUAGUUAGCACCUAUGUAAUGGUGUAAAAAAGAAAAAGGAAGAGGAAGAGGAGGAUAUGGAUAAAUGAUGCAAUUUUGGGCGAAAUGGUGUAAAUUGGACAAAAUUUGCACAUUUCUCCUCCUCCUCCUCUUCUUUUUCUUCCCCUCCGCUCCGCGUGCAGGCGGCGCACCUGGGCCUGCUCGAUUACGACCAGUCCGGCACGCUCGGCGUUUGGAUGGCCCUCACGGUGGUCGCCGAGAACGACAACCGUGUGGCCGCUGUGGGCUUCUCAGAUGUCGGCUUCAUACUCAACUUCUACCGGAUCGACAUCUGUGCGCCGCUCCGUUAACAGUCUAGCGCAACUGCUCGUGGCCGCUGCAAUUUGGCCGCUGCAGUAUGACGUGCAGGCACCGCCAGUCUCGCUCGACGCCGACGCUAUGCAAGCCAUGGACGCCAUGAAGAAGGAAGAGGAGGAAGAGAAAGAAAAACAGUGUAAUUUUUUUUUAAACAGUGUAAUAUUUGUCAAAAGAGUGCAACUUUUGUUUCAAGGAGUGUAAUUUUUAUUUCAAAGAGUGUAACAUUCACCUUAAACAGUGCAAUUUUUUUUUAAAACGGUGCAAUUUAAUUUUAACAGUGCAACCUUUAUCUUCCUCUUUCUUUUUCUUUGAUUUGUCGCCUUUUUCGAUAAUAGUAACGAUAUAUAAUAGUCUUUCAAAGAGACAAUUUUUUUUUUUUAUUUUAAUUUUUACUCUUAUUUUUUUUAUAUCCUCUACAUCUUUAUUCGCUUUUUCCUCGGUGCCGGCGAAGACGGAGGCGGUGGGGGUGUUGUCAUGGAAGAAGGAGAGGCGGUGGAAGGAGAAGGUGGGCGUUGCAGAGGAGGAGGUGGCGGAACUCUAGAUGGGGUCGGAUUUGGGGGUGUCGUCGUGGGAGAGAGAGAGGCGGCGGAAGGAGGAGGUGGGUUCGUCGGAGGAGGAGGAGACGAUGGGGAGGGCGGGCGCUGCGGAGGAGGAGGUGGCGGAACUCGAGAAGAAAAUAGCGAAGAAGAAAAAAGAAGAGAGAGAAAAAAAAUGAAUAAGGGUAUUUUCGUCCGAUGGCGAAAAAUCUGGCCUGAAUUUGUAAAAAUAAAAAAGGUGGCCCGGUUUUGCAAAAUCUUAAAAUUUGUGGAUUUUUUAUGCAAAUUGGCCUUUUUUUCAAAUUUUUUAUUUGAAAAAUAAAAAAAUUCUUAAAAAAGGGUGUCUAUAUAUACCAUGGAAAAACCUUUUUUUUUUAAGAAUAAUUUUUUCCUCUUUUGAAACUUAUUUUCCAAAAAUUGAGAAAUAUUUUCUAAAAAAUAUAUAUAAAACAAAUCCCUUUUUAAUUUUUCUGCCCAAAAUAAACAAAGUUUCAAAUUUUAAGAAAAACUAGUAUUCUCAUUUUUAAAUUUUUUCAUCCAUAAAAUAAAAAUAUUAUUUUUAUAAAAUCUGAAAAAAUAAAAUAUUAGUAUUUUUCGAAACCAAACUAACAAAAAUUUUGAUUUUUUUUUUUCGAAAAUACUGUUUUCCACGUCUUUUUGAUAAACCGACCCCAAUAAAUGAAGUAAAACAAUCCAAAUUUUUCCCUCUUUGCAUAUAGCAAUAUAAAUUUUCAAAUUUUUAUAUUUUUAUCCAAACUUUCAAAAUUUUGUAAUGAGCUGUAUGAAUUUGUAUUCUGUCAAUUUAAACUGAUUAAUACAAGCUAAUUGACCAAGAAAUAAUAAAAAAAAUCCAUGCCAGCGAUAUAGAUAGGUUAUUUUAACAGCAAAAUUAUGUUUGUAGGUAAAAUUAGGAUUUUCGGGCGACUAAGCUUAUAGGAUUUUUUUUAAUUCUAAGAAUUGAAGUCUGGUAUUUUUAGCCUAAGCGGUGAAUGACUCAUCAAUUUUUAGUGCAGUGGAAAAAAAUGUGAAUCAUUCACCGCUUUUUGAAAAGAUAAAAUCAUUUACCAUUUUUAUCAAACUUACAUAUUUUUUAUAUCCGAACUUCAGGUUGCGUUUGGUAGCGAGAAUAUCUCGGAACAAGACGGUAUAUCUCCAAAUUUGUUACCGAACGAUGGAAGAACUGCGGAGAAUGGGUUGUUCUGAUCAAAGCAAGUUGUUCUGAGUUGUUCUAAAACAACCCGUUAAAAAUUGUUCCUAAGAGAACAACUUUGUUCUUCUCUUUAUUUUAUUAGAUAAAUGGAUAUAUAAAUAAACAUAUUAAUAUAAAUAUUAUUUUUAUGAUAAUAUAUUUAUACUUAAAUUUUAUUAUAUAAUAUAAAUUAAUUAAAAUUUAUAUAUUAUUUAUUUUAUUAAGUUUUAUCAUUUAUAUUUUAAUAUUUAAUUAUUUUAUUUUAUAUUAAGUAUUAUNAUUAAUAAAGAUAUCAUUAAAUAUUAUAUCAUAAAGUACAUUAUUAAAUUAAAUUUUAUUAUAUAAAUUAAAUAAUAUAUAUUAUUAAAUAAAAAAUAUUAUUAAAUAAGUAUUAUAUACAUUCCUUAUUUCAUAUUAUGAUUGUUAUAGUAUAAAUAAUUUUAUAUAAAAUAUACUAAUAUGAAUAAAUUAGUUUAUUUUUAAAAAUAUAUUUAGACAUUGUUUCUAGACUUUUUAUCCAAAAGCUACUAUGGUUAUACUUUAAAAUAUACCCAAAUUAUCCAAACACAAAUUUACAAUUAUUUUAUUUUGUACCGGAAUAUCUCAUAUUCUCGAGAACAACAAAAAAUUGUUCUUCAAAUUUUAGUUCUCCAACUAAACGCAGUCUCAAAGUAAGUACAGAAUUAAAUCCUAAAACUAAUUUCAAUAUUUUGAAAAAAGCGGUGAAUGAUUUACUGCAUAAGCAUAAUUUUAUAAAUAUAUUUUUAAAAAGCUAUCCCUAAAUUCAUUCACCGCACAGAGCUAGUUUUAUAAAAAAGCUAUUUUUAUAAUUAUAAUAUUUUUUAAGUCUAUUAAUUAAAAAAAUCGGUAAAAUUAACCAUAAUUAUCUUAUUUAAUUUGCAAACAUUAAAAACUAAAAAUUAAUUCUCAACUAUUAUCAUAAGAAUAAAUUUUGACAACAAAAAAGAUCCUUUACUUUGUUUUUUUUUUUUUUGAUAUUUGGUUAAUAUUACUCACAUUGAGUUGUUAAAAUAUAAUCUUAAAAGUGGAUUGUAAAUUAUUUAAAAUAUUGAUGGUAAAUAUAAAAUUUGAGGCUUUGGAUUGCUGCUAUGCAUUUAACCCUAGGAAAAAAUUUUACAAAAAAGAACAGAAUUGCAUAAACACCCCUUGAACUUUAGUGCUUUGUCAAAUGAUCCCUUAAAUUUUUAAAUCUUGCAAUAUGCACCCUAAACUUUAUUUAACUUGCUCAGUUCAUUCUUGUGAUGAAGAAAAUAUUGUAUCAGGAUUGGAGAAUAGAAUAAAUCAAUCUCAAAAUUUUGUUAUUCUACUGUAUAAGAAGGGUCUAUUAAACUAUUUAAUAGAGUAGGGCUACUAUACUCUUAUGAGUGUAGAACCCUUCGUACUUAUAAGUUGUUUUCGAUGAUGAAGCAUCCGAAUCGACGAUCCUCUCUGUUAAAUAUGAUAUAGAGUAUUUGAAACUUCUAAAAAAUAAAUUUCGUAAUUUUUCGAAAUCAUAAGAAAGUCUAUCAAGCGGGCAUGAAAUGAACGGUCAAAAUCAAACGACGUCCUAAAAAUGGAUGAUCAGAUCCUUCAAUUUAAAAUCGGAGUUAUUGAUCUUUAUCUAGGUAGUGAAUAGAAUUUUCUAUUAAAAAUUCAAACUAUUCUAAUUCUUUUACACCGUUAAAUUAGCAAGUAUUUCACAACGGCCGUUAAAAAUUGUCGAUUUUGUGACCUUUUAAUCGUAACGUAAAUGAUAUCGAAAAAUUAUGAAAUUUGAUUUAUAAAAGUUUUAAAUGAUCUAGAUAAUGUUUAACGGUAUGGAUCGUCGAUUUGUAAGCUCUAUCAUCGAAAACGACUUAUGAAUACAAGAGCGAUCGUAUUGAUAAGAGUAUAGUAGCGGGACUCCUACUUAAUAAAGUAUAAUGCCUUGUUAUUAAAAUUAGAAGCUUAGGGGACUAUUUACUGACCGUCCCUAGAGCAAGUAGUAAAGGGCUUGGUGGUUGGUACCCGAGACCCAAGUUCGAAUCCUAGUUGAUUCAUAUUUCGAGCUAAGUUUAUUUCUAAAUGAAAUAAACAAAGCGGGUAGCGUGCUACCUAUCUCUCUAAAAAAAAAAAAAAAAAAAAAAGCUCAAUAUUUCUUAAAACAAGUUAUAUUACUUGGCUUUCCUAUUCUUAUAUUCAAACUCUAUGAGCUAAUUUUCCAAAACUUGUUUUGUUUUUCCGUUUUGACAUAGAGAGAGAGAGAGAGAGAAAGAGAGAGAGGUCGCAAGCUAUUCGUUUCAUUAAAUGAAUGCACAACUAUAAUUGUGAAGUAAUUAUGCUUCCAUCUCGGGACCUCAGGUACCAACAAUUACACCCUCAGUCAACUGUGCUAGGUACAGUUGGUAUUCAACUGUACAAGUUUUUUACGCAGUUUGCUAAGAUAUAGAUUUGGCUCAAAAUAUAAAACAACUACUCUUCGAGCUUGGAAUCUCAAAUACCAAUCAUCAAUUUUUUUACCACUUGUGCCAUGCACGGUGCGUCGAUUAUUCAACUCCACAAGUUUGAAUUUUAAUAGGAGGAAUUUAUUAUUAGGGCCUAAGUCCAACAUGUGAACAAUGUUAAUCCUAACUAUGUUAGACCAUUGCUUUCCAUGUCCUCAUUGGCCACCUCAUUGUCACAUUGUUUGACAUUCUAAUUCCUUUCUCUAUCAAAGAGACUAUUGGAUUCUCUCUCUCUCUCUCUCUCUCUCUCUCUCUCUCAAUUUUUUUUUUCUCUAUUUUUAUUUUAUAGUAUAUUUGUACACAUUAUUUAUUGUUGCGUGGGACCUCGAGAAUAAGAUGCUAUGAAGAUUCUACAUAGAAUUUAUACCUAAUAACUUAUCUUAUUAAGUCACAUCCAAUGGUGAGGGUGUAAAAGUGUAUACAACUUAUCUAAAUUAUCUAAAUUAUAAGUCAUUUUAAAUUGAAUAACUGAUAUUUUAAAAUUUUGAUUUUACUAUCCAAUUUUUCAAUUUGUUUGAUUUAAGUUAGUCAAUAAAAUUUUGACUUCAAAAAUUUAAGCUGAUUGCUUACUUUAAUGAGUUUAUAGUUGCGAGAAUUGCAUAAAUUUCAAAGUUAAAAAGCCACUGACCAACUCAAAUCAAACAAAUUGAAUGAUUAAAUAGUAAAAUCAAAAUUUUGAAAAGUCAAAAAAUUAAAUCAAAGUGGUACAUAAUUCAGAUAAGUUUUAUAACUUUUCAUCAAGAAAAAUAGUAAUUUUAAGUUGAAUGAUUAGGGGGGAAAAAAAAAUUUAUUUGUGUACUCUUGUGCAACAUGUUAAUGUUUGAUUAUAAGAUAAUUUCUCCUCCCUUGGUAUAUAUAAAGUGGAGGAUUUUGAUUAGUUUACGAAAGUAAUACAAGAUGUUAUGUAAAUUUAUCAACAUAUUAAUAAUUCAUAAAAAAAAUUUUCCUGGUUAGUGUUAGGGUUUGGAUAUAAGUAGGGAGAAAGGAGCCUAUUUCUCGUCUUACACCCAAAUUCUAAGUGGAACGCUUGUUUCAGUCUUAAUGGGUUAUCCGGAAAUAACCUGUUUAAAAAGAGGAAUAGUAGUUCCACCCUAGUUAAGUAAUAAAUAAAUAUAAAAUAUUACUAAUUAAUGUAUAAUGUGUUAAUUUAUUUACUACUUAACUAGCUAACUAAUAAGUUAUUUAUUUAUUAAACUAAUAAAUAUAUGAUUAACUACUCGAGCAAUCAAUUUAUUAGUUAUAAUUAAAUAAUUAAAAUUUCUAAUUUAUGUUCAUAUUAAUCAACUAUUAAUUAAUUUACUAACUAGUUAUCUAACUUAUUAAAUAAUUAACAGGGUAACUUAUUUUUGUAGUUAAUUGAUGUGUUAUUGUGUUUUUCUCAUUAUCUUAUGGAGUGUUCAUAGUUAGCUUAUUAUUACUUACUUAUUAAAAUUUUAUUUAAUUAAUACUUUGAGAUUUGUUAAUUAGGUAAAAUAAUUUUACUUUAAAAUCACAAUUAAUUACUCCCAUUCCUAAUUCCACUUUAACCAUCCAAAUAUAUAUAUUUUUAAUUCCUCUGAAUAACUCAAUUCUUAUUCAGGUAUAAAAUUAGCCCCAUUGAUACGACAUUGUCGUAUUCCAUCAAAAAUAAAUAAAAAUAAUUUAUUCUCGAACCAAACGAUAUAUGCGGAACACAUGGCAUUUGUCUUAUACUGGUUUAAUUGUUGGGACCAUCAUGAAAAUU
rnacentral:lncRNA from 1 species